rnacentral:rRNA from 1 species
UACGUAGGGUCCGAGCGUUGUCCGGAAUUAUUGGGCGUAAAGAGCUCGUAGGCGGUUUGUCGCGUCUGCUGUGAAAUCCCGAGGCUCAACCUCGGGCCUGCAGUGGGUACGGGCAGACUGGAGUGCGGUAGGGGAGAAUGGAAUUCCUGGUGUAGCGGUGAAAUGCGCAGAUAUCAGGAGGAACACCGGUGGCGAAGGCGGGUCUCUGGGCAACUACUGACGCUGAGGAGCGAAAGCGUGGGGAGCGAACAGG